AUAUCACUAAGCGGAGGAGAAGAAAUUAACUAAGAUUGCCUCAGUAGCGGCGAGCGAAGCGGCAAGAGCCCAAACUGGAAAUCUUGUACACCACGUGUGCACGAAUUGUAAUCUAUAGGAUGUUCGCUCAACGGGAGGUGGCGCAGAAGUGCCCACGAACGGGACGCCAGAGAGGGUGCCAGCCCCGUAUGUGGUGCCGCCUCUUAACGAGCGGGUGUUCAACGAGUCGGGUUGUUUUGUAUUGCAGCCCUAAGUGGGAGAUAGACUUCUUCUAAGGCUAAAUAUAUAUGGGAGACCGAUAGCGCACAAGUA
rnacentral:rRNA from 1 species